rnacentral:rRNA from 1 species
UACGUAGGGUGCAAGCGUUGUCCGGAAUUAUUGGGCGUAAAGAGCUCGUAGGCGGUUCGUCGCGUCGGCUGUGAAAUCCCGAGGCUCAACCUCGGGUCUGCAGUCGAUACGGGCGGACUGGAGUUCGGCAGGGGAGACUGGAAUUCCUGGUGUAGCGGUGAAAUGCGCAGAUAUCAGGAGGAACACCGGUGGCGAAGGCGGGUCUCUGGGCCGUAACUGACGCUGAGGAGCGAAAGCGUGGGGAGCGAACAGG